rnacentral:rRNA from 1 species
CGCCCUAUUGGCUAGUUGGUGAGGUAAUGGCUCACCAAGGCUACGAUGGGUAGGGGUUCUUAGUGGAAGGUCCCCCACACUGGCACUGAGAUACGGGCCAGACUCCUACGGGAGGCAGCAGUAGGGAAUAUUGGUCAAUGGGCGCAAGCCUGAACCAGCCAUGCCGCGUGCAGGAUGAAGGCUCUCUGAGUUGUAAACUGCUUUUGUACAGGAGCAAAAAAAUCCCUGCGGGGGUUCUUGAGAGUACUGUAAGAAUAAGCACCGGCUAAUUCCGUGCCAGCAGCCGCGGUAAUACGGGAGGUGCAAGCGUUAUCCGGUUUUAUUGGGUUUAAAGGGUGCGUAGGCGGCUUAUUAAGUCAGUUGUGAAAUCCUAGUGCUUAACGCUAGAACUGCGAUUGAUACUAUU